rnacentral:rRNA from 1 species
AACGCGAAGAACCUUACCUGGGCUCGAACGGCUUUGGAACAUCCUUGGAAACAGGGACUUCCCGCAAGGGACCGGAGUCGAGGUGCUGCAUGGCUGUCGUCAGCUCGUGUCGUGAGAUGUUGGGUUAAGUCCCGCAACGAGCGCAACCCUUGUCCUGUGUUGGCAUGCCGCAAGGCGCAACUCGCAGGAGACCGCCAGCGAUAAGAUGGAGGAAGGUGGGGAUGACGUCAAGUCAUCAUGGCCUUUAUGUCCAGGGCCACACACGUGCUACAAUGGGCGGUACAAAGCGCUGCCAACCCGCGAGGGGGAGCUAAUCGCCAAAAACCGUCCUCAGUUCGGAUAGCAGGCUGCAACUCGCCUGCGUGAACGCUGCAAUCGCUCCCAAAGGGCUAUCAGAAACAUAGCCCAACACGCCCCGGGUAUUUACACACCG